AUAUAAUUCCUUAAGAUUAUAUAGAGCAAUGACCACAAUUUUGAAAAUUUUGUCUCGCUAAUGAAGAGUCAUUGACUAUCUCGCGAAAAUAAGGUGUCGCGAAAAUUAAGUGAUUUACAGUAUAUAUAGGAAACGUCUUCUCAAUAAUACCAAAGCCAUAUAUAGUCAUAUUGAAAUGGAAGCAUCCUUAGGUAGUGUAGAUUCAAAUUUGUCCAGAUCUUGAUUCCAGGGGGCAGGGAGGGGCAUCAAUGGGGAUAAAAUUUUAACAAAGGAAUAUAUAGGAAAAAAUUUUAUGUUCAAGAACAGCUAAGCCAUUGUUAUUGAUAUGAAAAUGUCUCCAGGUAGUUAUUCAAGCCCCCUUCUCCUUUUCCUAAAUUUUAUUCUUUUCAAUACUGGACUAAUUUGUCAUUUAUUAGCCAAUAUGCUUAGGUGAGCAUAUUGCCCAUUGGCCACUAGUUUAUUUUAGAAAUCUUCUCACUUGGUAUGAAGUGCAAGUGAUCCUCUUUUGGUGUCUGUUAAUUUUUAUCUUUUUAAGAGGAAUACUUUUAAGGCUGAACAGGAUCCUGAAGUGAGGAGGACUCCCUCUCUCAUUGAACUGCAUACAGCAGCAGAAAGCAGGAUUUCAGUUCCCCUUUGAUUCAGAAGAGGAACAACAAUGGAGGACCAAGGUCAUUAAUAUAAGAAGAGUCUAUUCCUGUCUGUGUUUUGCAGCAGAAGAAAGUUAAGACUGACCAGAAAUUCUAAGUGAGGAAGAGUCCCUUUUCCAUUCCGCUGCAGCCAUGAGGAGAAUACUCUAUUUUCAAGGAAUUUGACAAGGGAAGAGGACCAGUGCUGACCAAGUGAAGAAAAAGAAGAGUCUAUUGCCAAGCUUUGUACAGCAGCCAAUAUCUGAUUAAGGAGUGGAAGAUGAGACUGAUCUCAAUCAGUUAACAAGAAUGUGGAAAGUAAGGACUUACUACUGUCUAACCUAAACAUUGAUGGCAGGCAGUUAUGCUGGCAUUGAUCCUGUUUCCAAAAGCAGAUCAACAUGAUUCCUCAAGACUCCAAAGAGAUCAACUAUGGGACCUGAAAAUAAAGGCAGACUGCCAUCAAUUUCAUGUUUCUUUGAUAGCAGACAAAUAUGCUUCAACAAUAGUGCAGAGAGUAAUUUAAGGUUUGGACUGCAAGUGAUGGACACACUAAAUAACUCAACUCAAAGAAUUCAAUGGAUAGUGCUGAGUACAUUAUUAUAUAUCUACAAAGUGAUGGGCACACUAAAUAGCUUAACUGACAGAAUUCAAUGGACCAUGCUGAGUACAUUGUUAUCUACAAAGUGAUGGACACACUAAGUAGCUUAACUCACAGAAUCCAAUGGACAGAGUUGAGUAUGUACUAAUAUCUACAAAGUGAUGGACACAGUAAACAGCUUAAUUCUCAGGAUUCAGUGUACCAUGCUGAGUACAUAACUCAUUAAGGAUAACUCAUAUGACAUCCACAGCAGAUCACUCAAAGUUGUGUUACUACAUUAUUGUACAACUUUUCAUAUACUACGUUAUUUUUUUCUGAAUGUUUUUUUUUUUGUAUCUGUAUAUUAUAUUUUUUAAUUUAAAAAAGUUAAAGAUUGGAUUUUUAAGCAAAAAUAUCAAGAGAGGUAAAUCAGUGCUUGUCUGAAUAUCUAAGCUUAAGAGAAAGGGAGGUAAUUUUUUUUAUUGUGAAUCCUUGUCCAGAGCAUAUGCUUUCUCCCCUUGGUCCAAUGUGGCUAAUACUUCUCUCACAGAGUGCCACUGGUCAAUGGAUGUGUAGUGACCUUGAACAAAGUUUCUAGGCCAAGAGUCAAGGUUAAAACCCCUUUCAGCUACUUUACAUUUUUAUGUUCAUUGCUGAAAGUGGGACCCUUUGAGAUGGCCACCAUCUCAAUGAUAUCUAAUUUUAGUUUGAAAAUUGCUAGAAAAGAUAAAGUGAUCUCAUUGUAACAUUAUUAUUUUUUAGUGUUUUAGAUUAUAAAUAAAUAUAACAAUAUGCAAAAUCUAAAUUCUUUUAUAUUUUCUCUCCUUUGAUUUACAUAGCAGGCCUUGCAGUUUUUAGCUCAUAUGAGAUUUUCUGAUCACCUGUUGUCCGUCGUCCAUCCGUCUGACUGUCCAUUCAUCUGUAAACUUUUCACAUUUUCAGCUUAUUCUUGAGAACCAUUGGGCCAAUUUUGACCAAACUUAGUACAAAACAUCCUUGGGUAGUGGGAGUUUAAAUUAUAAAAAUAAAGUCCCCUUCCGAGGGGAAAUUGUCAAGAAUAUACAAAAAUAGGGUGGGGUCAUAAAAAAAUCUUCUCAAGAACCACUGGGCCAGAAAAGCUAAACUUCUGUGGAAGCAUCCUGGGGUAGUGUUACUAGUGUAGAUUCUAAAUUGCUUGGAUCAUGACCCCUGGGGAUUGGGAAAGGUCAAGAUAGGUAUUAGGGGGAAAUCUGUUUAAUAACAUAAUGGCCAAAGUUACUCAGGUGAGUGAUGUGGCCCAUGGGCUUCUUGCUUAUCUAAUUUAGUUUUAUCUUUGUAUGCAACACUUUUUCCUUCUUUUAGUUGUUACUGAGGUUCUAAGUAAUUUAAAGUUUUUUAUGAAAUAUUUUUCCUUGUCAAGUUCUAUAAGCAUGUUCUACUUCAUACACAAGUAGUAUAUGAAGAUUUUCUAGAUGUUUCAUAUUUUUUCAAUUUUUCUUGAAAAGCAUAACUGAUGUACAUGUAAUUGUAAAAACUGUGUUUGUCCCUUGUGAUACAUGAUUAAUUUAUGUCAGUUUGAAUUUAUCAUAUAUAUUAAAAUACACUAUUAUACAG